rnacentral:lncRNA from 1 species
ACUAAGUUACUCAAAUUAGGACUUAUUCUAUGCAUCUGCUCUCCCACAAUAUGGCGCUGGGAGAGAAGUAAACAGCUUCCGCACAGCUGCCUCCAGUUCAACCAAUUAACUGUAGGACUUGCUCCUGAUUGGAGAGCAGCGUACUCAGCCGAGUUGGGAUUGGCGGAGGAGGACUAUAAAGGAGGAGAGAGACGGCAUGCACCGGGGAACAUCUAUGGGGAACAUCUAAGGGAACCCGUGCAGCCCCCCAGAGAGCCGGCCGGCGGUGUGCCGCUCCCCUGCGGAAGUGGGGAAUGCGGCCAGGGGGAACUGCCCUUCCACGGAGGUGGAAGGGAUAGUAGCCAACCCGGGAAGAACCAGCAGCAAACCCGGGGAGGGCCGAGCAGACGAAAGAACAGCGCAGGGUUCAGUGUUGCUCCUCCACGAAGAGGGGGAGCGACAGUCUCUGCCUCUGCAGAUGAAGGAAACACCCCAAAGAUGACUGAGCAAGGAUCCUUGGCUUCCCAAAACUAUGAGAUUGUGCUAACCACCUCGGGAUGCUGUUUAAGAGGAUAAAGCUCUCUGCCUCUGCUUUGCUGCUGGUGAUAAGUGGUGGAUAGCAGCUCAAGGUGCUUACUGCACAUGGCUCUCUGAGUGGUAUGGACGCUACCCGCAUUUCCAGACUUUCCCCUCUCUCUUACCUGAACUAAUGCCCUCACUUCCUAGAUCCCUCUUGCACUAAAUAAAAGUUUAAAACCAACCA